rnacentral:rRNA from 1 species
UGGGGAAUAUUGCGCAAUGGGGGGAACCCUGACGCAGCCAUGCCGCGUGAAUGAAGAAGGCCUUCGGGUUGUAAAGUUCUUUCGGUAUUGAGGAAGGUUGAUGUGUUAAUAGCACAUCAAAUUGACGUUAAAUACAGAAGAAGCACCGGCUAACUCCGUGCCAGCAGCCGCGGUAAUACGGAGGGUGCGAGCGUUAAUCGGAAUAACUGGGCGUAAAGGGCACGCAGGCGGUUAUUUAAGUGAGGUGUGAAAGCCCCGGGCUUAACCUAGGAAUUGCAUUUCAGACUGGGUAACUAGAGUACUUUAGGGAGGGGUAGAAUUCCACGUGUAGCGGUGAAAUGCGUAGAGAUGUGGAGGAAUACCGAAGGCGAAGGCAGCCCCUUGGGAAUGUACUGACGCUCAUGUGCGAAAGCGUGGGGAGCAAACAGGAUUAGAUACCCUGGUAGUCCACGCUGUAAACGCUGUCGAUUUGGGGAUUGGGCUUAGAGCUUGGUGCCCGUAGCUAACGUGAUAAAUCGACCGCCUGGGGAGUACGGCCGCAAGGUUA